AACGAACGCUGGCGGCAUGCCUAACACAUGCAAGUCGAACGAGACCUUCGGGUCUAGUGGCGCACGGGUGCGUAACGCGUGGGAACCUGCCCUUAGGUUCGGAAUAACUCCCCGAAAGGGGUGCUAAUACCGGAUAAUGUCUUCGGACCAAAGAUUUAUCGCCUUUGGAUGGGCCCGCGUUGGAUUAGCUAGUUGGUAGGGUAAAAGCCUACCAAGGCGACGAUCCAUAGCUGGUCUGAGAGGAUGAUCAGCCACACUGGGACUGAGACACGGCCCAGACUCCUACGGGAGGCAGCAGUGGGGAAUAUUGGACAAUGGGCGAAAGCCUGAUCCAGCAAUGCUGCGUGAGUGAUGAAGGCCUUAGGGUUGUAAAGCUCUUUUACCCGGGAUGAUAAUGACAGUACCGGGAGAAUAAGCUCCGGCUAACUCCGU
rnacentral:rRNA from 1 species